rnacentral:rRNA from 1 species
GUGGAUUAGAUACCCCGGUAGUCCACGCCGUAAACGAUGAGUGCUAGAUGCUGUGGGUAUUGACCCCCGCGGUGUCGCAGCCAACGCGUUAAGCACUCCGCCUGGGGAGUACGGCCGCAAGGCUAAAACUCAAAGGAAUUGACGGGGGCCCGCACAAGCGGUGGAGCAUGUGGUUCAAUUCGACGCAACGCGCAGAACCUUACCUGGGUUAAAUCCAUUCAAACCUAGCAGAGAUGUUGGGGUGCCCUUCGGGGAAUGAAUGAGAAGGUGCUGCAUGGUUGUCGACAACU